GGACAUUUCGCAGGUAACCCGCACGGCCCAGCGGCGCCGCAUAACCCGCUCCCCGCUUCCUUGAUGGCGAACCCUAGCGCCGCCAUGGCGAGUCCCUCGGCUCGACCUCCGCUGCCUCCCGUUCCUACACCUGCUCCACGUGCGUCGCCUCCAUUGAUGCCGGCGCCAGCGCCCGGAUCCGCGCCAGCGCCAUUGAGAUCUGGGAUCAUGGUCGCAACCUCUGCUCCCUCGGCGAUGCUGUCUCCACUGCCGCCGCCACCUGCUUCGUCGCCCGCAGCAGCAACUGUGCCGGUGCCCUUGGCUGGCAUGAAGACGGCGGUGGCAUCCUCCUCCCGGAAACAUCCAAGCAGCAGGUUGAUGUUUCUGGGUUCUACCUGCGAUGAUUCUGGGUUGCCUGAUCCCACUAUUACAUCACAGAAAGGCUUUUGCUGUUGAAUUCUGGGUUCGAAGAAGCUGCAGCAGUAGGAUUGCUAAGCCACAUAGAGAAAAAGUGAUGGAUCCAAGUGUAGCGCUAAUAGAUUAGUGUGGUUCUGUAAUGUAUACAACAACAUAGCCUUUUUUCCCAAGCAAGUUGGGGUAGGCUAGAGAUGAAACCCGAAAGAAAUAAGUUCAAGGUUCAGGCACAUUGAUAGCUA